GACGAACGCGGCGGCGUGCCUAAUACAUGCAAGUAGAACGCUGAAGCUUGGUGCUUGCACCGAGCGGAUGAGUUGCGAACGGGUGAGUAACGCGUAGGUAACCUGCCUGGUAGCGGGGGAUAACUAUUGGAAACGAUAGCUAAUACCGCAUAAGAGUAGAUGUUGCAUGACAUUUGCUUAAAAGGUGCAAUUGCAUCACUACCAGAUGGACCUGCGUUGUAUUAGCUAGUUGGUGAGGUAACGGCUCACCAAGGCGACGAUACAUAGCCGACCUGAGAGGGUGAUCGGCCACACUGGGACUGAGACACGGCCCAGACUCCUACGGGGGGCAGCAGUAGGGAAUCUUCGGCAAUGGACGGAAGUCUGACCGAGCAACGCCGCGUGAGUGAAGAAGGUUUUCGGAUCGUAAAGCUCUGUUGUAAGAGAAGAAACGAGUGUGAGAGUGGAAAGUUCACAACUG
rnacentral:rRNA from 1 species